CUCAGUUUUCCCUUCCGCAAUAUAUGAGAAUAAUGCUCACCUGCCUUUGCAUAGUGUUUUGAGAUCCACAGGCAAGAGGCACUAGGACACAAGAUACACGCAUCUCCUUUAAAAUUACCCGGUACUCUGACUUUUCCAAGAUUAUGGACACCAUUUUAAACAAACAGUGAGGCUAAGAACUCCCACCUUAAGAAUAAACAUUUCAUUGACAUGGUUCAAUCAUUAUGACCUGGCUAAGCAUCACCUGGUAGAGCAGAUAUUGCUGGAAGGUUGCGGGAUACCAUGUUUGAGAAGGAAAUUGAACGGUAUGCAAAAAACACUGAAAGGGAAAUUAGUUAAUCUGAGUCUCUGAUCGCUAGAGCAAUGUACACAAUGAUCUAGUAACUAAUGCUUGUGUGACAACAGAAGAUGGGACUGUCUGUUUUACAAAAAUAACAGAUACAUCAGGAAAUGCACAUACAGCAGAAUACUAAAAAGUGGCAGGAAAAGCUCUGUGAACAAACAUUCAAGUGUCAAAUGCAUAGCUUUGUCACAAACAAUACUGCAAAUGUAGCAAAGAUGAGAAGAAAUCUAGAAGAAGAUAAUGAAGGGAACCUGAAACUUAUAACACAUGGGUGCAAUGGCCAUUUGGUAUAGGUUUCAGCUAACGACUUGACUCCAAUAAUACAGCAAACUGUUGUUGAAAUUGCUAACACUUCUAUAACCACCAUUUCAUUUCAGCUUCACCGAAGAGAGCAGGAGGAUACAAACUAAUUCUCCCCAAGAUGUACAAUUGAAUUCAGUGGUUGAGUGUUUUGAACAAUUUAUUAAGACUGGCCUAUUUUGAUAAUUUGUGGAGAAAAUCAUGACAAAAUAGAUGGAACAAUCACAGCCAAAGUAGUCAACACUGGACUAAAGAAAAAAUGUAGAAAAUAUACUGAAACCUAUUUCCAUAGCCUUGGACCAACUGCAGAAAGAUUUCUGUGGUUUUGCUGGGGCUGUUUAAAUUUGGAAAGAACUUCAAGAGACACUGAAGAAAAAGAUACCCAACAACAAAGUUAAGUUGCAGGCAUUAAAAAAAGCAGGUGGAUCAAGCACUUGCUCCACCUCAUUUUCUUACCAAUAUUCUCAACCCAAUGCACUAAGGUAAUCUGCCAAACUGCUGAAGAAGAUGCUGCUGCGACAUGGGUAUCUAAUAAUCACUCAUCAAUCAUGCCAACCAGAAUGUCAAUGCUGGAGGUGACCAUUCAAGCAGUACAUGUUUGCUGAUGUUUUUAAAAAAAAGAGUCACAUCACUGAACUGGUAGAAGUUACUAGCUAAGCACCCGGAACCAGAGUCUGUUGAAGUGCUAAGCCAGCUUUCGACAGCAGUAGCCUCUCCUGCAGGCACAAUAAGAAUAUUUUCUUCUUUUGGACCAAUACAUUCAAAGUUGAGAUAUCAACUGGGAGUUGAAAAAGCAGGAAAACUUGUCUCUCUCUUCCAGUCUCUGAAUAAAAAUGAGCAGUGUGGGAGAUGAGAUCUACUAGUUUAAAAAGUCUGAAUGACAGCCUAAGUAAUUUAGGAGACUGUCAUCUCAUUUUCUAGGGACUUAGGUGAGCAGGAACUUAAGCUCCAGUCACUUUCACUUAGGCAGAUAUGAAAAUGUUCCCAGGCUGACCUGAAAUAAUCAGUUUAAUUCACUGACUACAAUUAAUCCCUAUGUUCCUUUAAUAAAUCAUUUAGCUGUAAAUGUGAAACAUGUUUUGAUAAGAGAAAUUGAUGUAUCCACAACAUUUAAGAUUGUUUUUUCAUAAAAGUUGUAUAUGCUGUUAUAUGUUUAAUUACAUUCCAGUUACCACUCUAAUGCAACUUGUCACAAAUCGUGAGCAGAGUUAAUUACAUAAGUAGGCAAUAUAUGAUUCACCAUUUUCUAACAUACUAAAAAUAUACAACUAAUAAGAAUCUGAAAAUAUUAACGUAAACAAUUGCUUAAAUAAAUAUGGUUAUAGUGUUCCCUCCUAAGUAGCAAAAAAGAUGUACCAAAUCUUGUGCAAAGGAUCCAUUUAGUUGUGAAUCAACAUGUUUUAAUGGUUGUAUCUACUAAGAAGAAUGCACCUUUCUUUAGAAAAUAACUGAAGUACAUAUGGAAAAGCUGAUUUAAAUCAAGGCUUUCCACUUGGUGAUUUAAAUUGCCACUUUAAAUUGUCUUGAUUUCAAUCAGUCCACCCUUUUCAGGGCUGUGAAAAAAUCAUACCGCUGAGUGUCAUAGUGAAGCUGACCUAACCCCCAGUGUAGGCAGCAGGCCAAUGGAAAAGUUCUUCAGUCAAUCCAGCUACCACUAUUCAGGUACAACAACUCCUACAUCGAUGGAAAAAACCCCUUCUGUCAACGAGGAAGUGCCUACACUGCAGCACUCCAACUGUGAUGCCCAUAGUGUAGAGAAGCCCUUGGAUUGUAAGCCACAUUCUGCCAUCACAAUUACAAAGACUUCAACGGCUGUAUUCUGGAAUUACACCACUGCAACACAGCAGAAAUUGGCCACAAUAUAAGAAAGAUUCACAUUUUGCUGAAACUGGUCAAGCAGACAGCUAUGCACAGUACAAGAUUUAAGAUCAAGCAAAAUGUGGUUCAUAAAACUUCAGAGAAAACAGCCAACAGCCAUUUCCUCCAUAUACAGAAAAAAGUGAAUGUGAUAAAUUAUCAAGCCAGUCAGAUAUGUUCUUACCAUAUUUCAGUUUUAGAGUUUUUAAAAUUUGCAACCAGUUAUUCAUUUGUUCCACUACACAUGACUAUAAUCACUGUGGCCCAAACAGUAUUUAGAUCUAGUAUAAAGAAUCUAAAAUAAAUAUUUAUCAAAGAAGGAUCUUAAUCUGGUCUCUAGAGCUCCUCCCUCAAAUAACUACUUCUAGAAACAAUCUCUUAGUCUUGAGAAAUGCAACUAAAAUGUUUUAGAUGAAACCUAUUUUUCUCACAGUAAAAUUGCAAAUAGAUUCCCUUCUACACAGUGCCAUGGAGCAUAUUUGGGAAUACACUCAGCUGUAAAAUCUGAAUUUUACAACUAAACCAUACGGCUGCCUAAUGGAGUAAGAAAAGGAUUUUUGCCAUUAAACUGGAUAAAAAUGUUUAUAACCUGGAUGGCUCAAAAAUGGAGAUGAACAAAACAAAAAUAUUUUGCAUUUCUUAAAAUAACCACAGUCUGAAUCUUAAGAGCACUGAUAAAUGUUGCUAUGUAUCCCUCCCUGUGCAAAUUUGAAGUAAACUGAGUUUUCAGUAGGAUAAAGCAAAAACCCUGCAAUGGUCACUUAGGAUGAAGUUUUUUCAAAUUAAGUUCCAGAAAAGAUCAAAGCUCCCUCAAAAAGGGAAACACUCCACUGGAUUUUAAAGCAAGCUGUUACCACUUCACCAGGCUAGUGAUCUCUCCAGCUGAUCUGCUAGAAGACUGAUUUAAGAAACUGAAAGAGAAAGGAACCGACUGUCAAAUUUACCUUCAAAACACUCUGCAACAAGUGCUUCUAGCAGUCUUAACUGAAGUGGUGGGACAAAGAGCAUACAGGGUGGGAACAACUCCACCCACAGGAACCACAUGCAAGCAGCUCAAAUACCCUGCCCUGAGGAGUUUACAGUGUAAAGAGAGAAUAUUAAGAACAACAAAAAUGCGUGCGCACACACAUCAAGAGAGAUGGGAAGUGAUGAAAAAAAUGAUUGAAUCAUGAGGUUUAUCACUCAUAGCAAUUCCACAAUUCUUAUUUAGACCUUUGGGGGAAAUUAAUGAUUUCAGGGUUUUUUCGUGCAUGAGGCUAGCUCUUUAAGAACGGAUAAGAUUACGUCACUCAACAUAACCAUAACUUGGGUCUUAUCUUAGUCAUAGUGUGUAUGCUUCACUGUAUUGAGAAGUAACAGAAAAUAAAGAAUUUGGGAGAACAUAUUCCUGGAGUAGAGUGGAAGAGCCUUCAAGGAGGACUGGAAGUUCUAGCUAGCUGUUGACAUUAAAUGUGGGUGGAGAGGAGGACUUUCAUAUUGGAAUAAUAUGGACAGGGUUUUUCUGCAUUUCUUUUGCUAUUAUUAAAGGUUUGUGCCUUAAUAAAAGGCUUCAUCUCAGCCUCUCAUCCUUCCCACCAUGAAUAGGUAGUAAUGUGUUCAUGUUAAUUAAACAGAAAUAAGUAUAAGCAGCCCUAAAACUGGGCUUUACUGAAGAGCAAGUAGGAUAUGAUGGGCUCUGAAGGAACAAAC